CACGUAGGGGGCGAGCGUUUGUCCGGAUUUAUUGGGCGUAAAGAGCUCGUAGGUGGCUCGGUAAGUCGGGUGUGAAAUUUCGAGGCUCAACCUCGAGACGCCACCUGAUACUGCUGUGGCUAGAGUCCGGUAGGGGGAGCGUGGAAUUCCUCGGUGUAGCGGUGAAAUGCGCAGAUAUCAGGAGGAACACCAGCGGCGAAGGCGGCGCUCUGGGCCGGUACUGACACUGAGGAGCGAAAGCGUGGGGAUCAAACAGG
rnacentral:rRNA from 1 species